AAGUCAGUAGAAAGUGAUUGAACAGGAAGUAGAAUAUCAAAAUUGACAAAGUAUCAGUCCAGAAGUAUCUUACCCCUUGCCUAUUCCCUUACCUCCUUUUUAUAGGUGACUCGGAUAUAACUGUCAAGCACAUGGUUCCGCUUUUUAUAGUACUAAGGGGUAGUUAUUUCGAUUAUCGAAUCAUAAUUAUAGAGUUAGUGGAUAAUUUAUACCUUCUAACGAUCGUGGUAUG
rnacentral:lncRNA from 1 species